UGUCUUUUAAAUAAAGACCAGUAUGAAUGGCAAGACGAGAGUUCAACUGUCUCCCUAAAUUAAUCAAUGAAAUUGAUCUUUCCGUGCAGAAGCGGAAAUAAAACUAUAAGACGAGAAGACCCUAUGGAGCUUUAAAUUCAUAAUCAAUUGUAUAACAUAAAAUCCGAAAGAUUAAAUAUAAAAUAAAACAAUAUGAUUAAAAUUUUAGGUUGGGGCGACCACGGAGAAAAACAAAACCUCCGAGAUGAAGAGAAUAUCUUAAUUCAAGAACUACAGUUCCAAAAAAUAAAAUAUUUAACAUAAUUGAUCCAAUAUGUUGAUCAACGAACCAAGUUACCCUAGGGAUAACAGCGCAAUCCUCUCCAAGAGUUCCUAUCGACGAGUGGGUUUACGACCUCGAUGUUGGAUCAGGACACCCCAAUGGUGCAGCCGCUAUUAAAGGUUCGUUUGUUCAACGAUUAAAG
rnacentral:rRNA from 1 species